rnacentral:rRNA from 1 species
GAUGAACGCUGGCGGCGUGCCUAAUACAUGCAAGUCGAGCGAACGGACGAGAAGCUUGCUUUUCUGAUGUUAGCGGCGGACGGGUGAGUAACACGUGGAUAACCUACCUAUAAGACUGGGAUAACUUCGGGAAACCGGAGCUAAUACCGGAUAAUAUUUUGAACCGCAUGGUUCAAAAGUGAAAGACGGCCUUGCUGUCACUUAUAGACGGAUCCGCGCUGCAUUAGCUAGUUGGUAAGGUAACGGCUUACCAAGGCAACGAUGCAUAGCCGACCUGAGAGGGUGAUCGGCCACACUGGAACUGAGACACGGUCCAGACUCCUACGGGAGGCAGCAGUAGGGAAUCUUCCGCAAUGGGCGCAAGCCUGACGGAGCAACGCCGCGUGAGUGAUGAAGGUCUUCGGAUCGUAAAGCUCUGUUAUUGGGGAAGAACAUCUGUGUGAGUAACUGUGCCCAUCUUGACGGUACCUAAUCAGAAAGCCCCGGCUAACUACGUG